rnacentral:rRNA from 1 species
AGAGUUUGAUCCUGGCUCAGAUUGAACGCUGGCGGCAUGCCUUACACAUGCAAGUCGAACGGCAGCGCGGGUGCUUGCACCUGGCGGCGAGUGGCGAACGGGUGAGUAAUAUAUCGGAACGUGCCCUAGAGUGGGGGAUAACUAGUCGAAAGAUUAGCUAAUACCGCAUACGAUCUACGGAUGAAAGUGGGGGAUCGCAAGACCUCAUGCUCCUGGAGCGGCCGAUAUCUGAUUAGCUAGUUGGUGGGGUAAAAGCCUACCAAGGCGACGAUCAGUAGCUGGUCUGAGAGGACGACCAGCCACACUGGGACUGAGACACGGCCCAGACUCCUACGGGAGGCAGC